GCCAUCGUGGUGUAGUGGUUUGAGUCUUGGACUACAACUCUGGAGACCAGGGUUUGAAUCCCUGCUUGGCC